GAUGAAGAACGUAGCGAAAUGCGAUAAGUAAUGCGAAUUGCAGAAUCCGUGAAUCAUCGAAUCUUUGAACGCACAUUGCGCCCCUUGGUAUUCCAUGGGGCAUGCCUGUUCGAGCGUCAUUUGUACCUUCAAGCUUUGCUUGGUGUUGGGUGUUUGUCUCGCCUUUGCGUGUAGACUCGCCUUAAAAUAAUUGGCAGCCGGCGUAUUGAUUUCGGAGCGCAGUACAUCUCGCGCUUUGCACUCAUAACGACAGCGUCCAAAAGUACAUUUUACACUCUUGACCUCGGAUCAGGUAGGGAUACCCGCUGAACUUAAGCAUAUCAAUAAGCGGAGGA
rnacentral:misc_RNA from 1 species